rnacentral:rRNA from 1 species
UACGAAGGGGGGCUAGCGUUGCUCGGAAUUACUGGGCGUAAAGCGCACGUAGGCGGCUUGUUAAGUCAGGGGGUGAAAUCCUGGAGCUCAACUCCAGAACUGCCUUUGAUACUGGCGAGCUUGAGUUCGGGAGAGGUGAGUGGAACUGCGAGUGUAGAGGUGAAAUUCGUAGAUAUUCGCAAGAACACCAGUGGCGAAGGCGGCUCACUGGCCCGAUACUGACGCUGAGGAGCGAAAGCGUGGGGAGCGAACAGG